AUACGUAGGUGGCAAGCGUUGUCCGGAUUUAUUGGGCGUAAAGCGAGCGCAGGCGGUCUUUUAAGUCUGAUGUGAAAGCCUUCGGCUUAACCGAAGAAGGGCAUCAGAAACUGGGAGACUUGAGUGCAGAAGAGGAGAGUGGAACUCCAUGUGUAGCGGUGAAAUGCGUAGAUAUAUGGAAGAACACCAGUGGCGAAGGCGGCUGUCUGGUCUGUAACUGACGCUGAGGCUCGAAAGUAUGGGUAGC
rnacentral:rRNA from 1 species